GUGUCUGCUGAGAAGUGACCGUGUCCUGUUUUCUCCUGUUCUUGUGAACACGGGUCUGUCCCCAAAGAGCCAUGAAGCACUCUCUCCCUCCCCAUCUUCCACUCUUCUCACUCUGCUGCUUGUCCCUAACAGACMCAGGGUACGGGAAGAUGGCAUUGAUGACGGCAGGGGAUGUUCUUCACACUGAAGUGAUGCUAACGCAAGCUGUCCAGCACUGAGUCUCACUCGCCAGCCCUGGCACCCAGUGAAGCGGGGCUCUUCUGAAGUGGCUCUAAACUAAGAUCAGAGCUGCCACACCAGGMUGGUACCAGGAACACCGCCUGGGGCAUGAAUCCAGCUUUAGAUGGUUUAUAAGAACAAGCAGAACUCUUGCCUCCCCAUCCAGAGGAGAACGACCCAAGUGCACCCGUCGGCUAAGCUCCUGGAGGACACCGAAGACACAAAGCAGCCUCAGCACCCUUCCCGCUGGAGAGGGCAGGAGAUGUGCAGAUUAUGUCAAACGUGGAAUUCCUCAAAGUACAGUCAUCAACAUUCUUCAUGCAUUGUGGAAAUUAGAUCUUUUGGACAUUUUUUAAAAUAUCCCAAGCAAAGAUGAUAAUGAGCUACCACAGAAUCCAGGAGAUAGGAAAAGGUGAGAAAGAAAAUACUAAGAUAAGAGAACUCAUGUAUGACAAAUAAUAUUGCAAAACAAAACCUAAAUGAAUAUGAGACUGUGAUAAAAGGCUAGUUAAUAUUAUUGUUCAGGAGAAACUUAUAUUUUCUACUAGAAAAAAAUAGUAGUGGUUCAUUAACAUAAUAAGAGAAGAAACUUUAAAAAUAAAUGUGAGAUUGAAUGUGUUAUAAAAUAACUG
rnacentral:lncRNA from 1 species